UUCUUUUAUGAUUAAUGUUGAAAUUUAUAUUAUCUGGAAAGUCGUUGAUCGCUAGGGAGGCUUAUCCCUAUUGUAGAAUAAAUAUUAUUUAUUUAAAUAAAUUAAUAGUUUAAUUUAUUUAUUUAAAUAAGAUUAGAAUUGUUCUAAUUGAUUUAUUCACAACCGGUUUAAUAUGGAGAACCUAAAGGGUCACACCAUAAAAGGAAGAAUAAUUAUUUAAG
rnacentral:lncRNA from 1 species